GAUGAACGCUGGCGGCGUGCCUAAUACAUGCAAGUCGAGCGAACAGACGAGGAGCUUGCUCCCCUGACGUUAGCGGCGGACGGGUGAGUAACACGUGGAUAACCUACCUAUAAUACUGGGAUAACUUCGGGAAACCGGAGCUAAUACCGUAUAAUAUAUUGAACCGCAUGGUGCAAUAGUGAGAGACGGUGUUUCUGUCACUUAUAGAUGGUUCCGCGCCGCAUUAGCUAGUUGGGAAGGUAACGGCUUAGCAAGGCAACGAUGCGUAACCGAACUGAGAGGGUGGUCGGCCACACUGGAACUGAGACAAGGACCAGGCUCCUACGGGAGGCAGCAGUAGGGAAUCUUCCGCAACGGGCGAAAGCUUGACGGAGCAACGCCGCGUGAGUGAUGAAGGUCUUCGGAUCGUAAAACUCUGUUAUUAGGGAAGAACAAAUGUGUAAGUAACUAUGCACGUAUUGACGGUACCUAAUAAGAAAGCCACGGCUAACUACGUG
rnacentral:rRNA from 1 species